rnacentral:rRNA from 1 species
UACGGCGGAUCCGAGCGUUAUCCGGAUUUAUUGGGUUUAAAGGGUGCGUAGGUUGUUUUUUAAGUCAGCGGUGAAAGUUUGUGGCUCAACCAUAAAAUUGCCGUUGAAACUGGAAGACUUGAGUGUGUUUGAGGUAGGCGGAAUGCGUGGUGUAGCGGUGAAAUGCAUAGAUAUCACACAGAACACCGAUUGCGAAGGCAUCUGACGAAUCGGAGAUUGACGCUGAGGCACGAAAGCGCGGGGAUCGAACAGG